rnacentral:rRNA from 1 species
UACGGAGGGUGCGAGCGUUGUCCGGAAUCACUGGGCGUAAAGGGCGCGUAGGCGGCCUGAUAAGUAGGGGGUGAAAUCCUGCGGCUUAACCGCAGGGCUGCCUUCUAAACUGUCAGGCUUGAGCACAGUAGAGGCAGGUGGAAUUCCCGGUGUAGCGGUGGAAUGCGUAGAGAUCGGGAAGAACAUCAGUGGCGAAGGCGGCCUGCUGGGCUGUUGCUGACGCUGAGGCGCGAAAGCUAGGGGAGCGAACGGG